AGUGUGGCUAGGUUUUGAUAGGGUUCCUUGUGCCCUCGGUUCUCUCCUUUGAUUUUUCUUAUUUUAUAAUAUUGGGUUGAUACGAACAUAGGUUCGUAUAGUGCACUUUUGGGGCUUUUGGCUAUUGGUGUCGAUAUGGCUUUUGAGGAGAUUGACCACUCAUUUAAGCGCCAAUUGGAUUUGACUGAUUGAGAAAAAGUUGGGGUAGUGAUUGGUAGUUCUCAAAUCUGAAAUCAUCCCUGGCCCCAGAUCUGAAAUCAUCGCAGAUAGAGCCUGCGCAGAGCAUGGUGAAGCGGAGCUGCAUUGAGAAUACGAGUCGUUGAGAAUAUGAGUCGAUGGCGUGGGUGGUGUCGGAGAUCUUGGAGUAGACGACGGCGAAUUGGGAGCAUAUGAAGGUGGCUGCCUCCGUGGUGUUGGGCCCCAGCAGCUGGGCCAGUUGGGUUGAGUAGUUUAGGUAUGGGAAGUUGGGGACGGGGGUUGGGGAAGAUGGGCGGGGGCAGGGGCGGGGGGCAGGGGAGGGGGUAAGGUUUUCUGGGCUUGGUAAAAUACAAAAAACCACAUAGAAGUUUACCUUUCCGAUCACAACCCAUUUGUUCCAUUUGUCAUCUUUUCAAAAUUGGAGCACCCGGAUCCUAUGUUUGUGCACUCUAAACUCCUCAGAAUAUCCAAGUAGCCUACUCAAGUAAUAAUUUUCAUCCAAAACCUUUAACACCUUCUAGAAACCAACAUUGAACACCUAAACAACAUCACCAACUGUUAAAAUCUCUGCACUUUGAACAGGUGGAGGGCAAGGCCUAAUAUCCUUCCUUGGGGUUGUCUGGGCUUGGUUUGAUUGUUUUUGUUUUUGUUUUUAUUUUUUUAUUUGUGAUUUUGUUAUUUUUUUUUAAAUUGGGGAAGAUGGAUGGAGGGUGGAAUUGAUAUUUGUUUUUAAAUGUUCCUUUUUUGGUUGUAAAUAAUUGAUUUUAAUUAAUUUAAAAUGUAAAUAAUUUUUUUAAUAUUAUUUUUUACAUAUUUUAUUACACCUAAGCUAAAAGGGUGCACCUCAUAUUUGCCACGUUAUCACUUAACAGAAGACUAAGCGAUCAAAUUAACGGAAUGUAUAAAUUGAUCGAAUUUUUAAACAUUAAGGCGUAAAUUGACAAAAUUAAAACCACUUCGCCUAGUUACAACUGUUUUGUUUCAGGAAACAAACCCUCAAAUUACAUGUCGUUCUGGUACUUAUCGAGUGGGAGAGGAUCAGAACAGAACGGCCCUGUGUUCAGCUUCCUCCCGUGUGAGAGAGCUUCAGAGACUGAAUUGAAUCUCAAGUCGUCCUUCAUUUUCUAUCCCCUGAACCAGAUCUCAACCUCCAACUCUCUCUCUCUCAAAUUCAUCUGUCUGUUUGUACAUUCUACCUGCCGUCUCUUCUGGACCAGUUCCCUCCUCCUCCUCAGCUCCCAACCUGCGCGUUUCCAGCUGCUGUUUUGUUCUACUCAUCAGGCUGUGAUUCCAAUGACGCCUACACGAUUCCACGGAGCUACCCCAUUGUUCUCACUGAGGGUGAUGGGACAAAAAUUUAUGUUAGUUGCAUUGCGUUCCGGGAUCCAGUCAGCGAGGAUAUUGCUGAAGCUUUUGUGUACCUGCAAAUUCAUUUGCAGAUAAGUGUAUCUGUCUAGUUUCUCCAUCGCCUAGCUUUCGUUUACUUAGGAAUACUCUAGAGGAAUUAUUUUCUUCUGAUGUUGACGCACAGCCUCGUUGUUUUCUUCUUUUUUAGUUGAAUGCGUCUGCCUUCUGCUUUUGAUGGGUCUACGAAAAUAUGUUCCCCUUUACUUGUGCUUCAUUUAGUUUUUGUCAUUAUGGUGGCAAAUUUUUUACAUUCCAACAUUUUCAAAAGAACUUAAUUUUUGUUCAAAGAUGGAAUAAAUAAUGCUUUAUCAUUAUCUUGUAUGCUUCCUGUAUUUGACUCUUGUCUAAUUUGUGCAUGUUUAUUGUGCGGAAGCAAGUCUACAUUCUGUUACUCUUUUUCAGUGGAGUAGACUAUAUUGAUGCGCCUACGCCAUAAAUGAUUGGUCUCCAUUCAGGCGUUGAUACAUCUACUCUGGCCAUCGAUAGUGUAGUUGUUGUUGACCUUGAGUGUAAUUGUAUCACAACGACGGAAGAUAUACCUCCUAUCCCAGAGCCAGAAUUAGGCGAUUUGCAUGGGGAGAUGACAAAAUUAUUGCAUCCCAAUGUUGUGGGGUGGGAUAGAUCAGAUGAAGGAUGGUUUAUAUAGUUCUCCUGAGCAAUAUCCUAAAGGUGUCAACGAACCUUGGGGAGAGGAUCAUGACCUUCAACCUAGGUGAUAGUCGGGUGCCAAGCAAAAUAAUUAUGAAGUAUUAGCGAAAUAAAUUUAGGGGUUCCACUAUUGUUGUAAAAGACUGAAAGGGCAAUUUUGCCUUGAUUUAUUUUAAAUUUUGUGACCAACUUUGCA